AGAGGGAGGGUGACAGGGGCUGCUCCUGGGGACCCACGGUCGGGAAGAAACAUCUCCCCAAGGGGGCCACUGUCAGCAGAGGCUGACUGAACAGAAGGAAGGAGGGUGCUGCCUGCCCAGGGGGCAGCAAGAACAAAGGCCCCGGGGUAGGACCUGCCUGGAAUGUUCCCGGAAUGGCGGCAGGAGAAGAGGGAAGCAGGGCAGGCAGGAAAGUGGCCAGGUUGCCUGGGACCUUGCAAGCUUCUCUCCUGCGAGAGGUGGAGCCAGGGGAGGGUUCCUGCCCUGACCAGGAAAAAAUAAAAAUGUUCCAAGGUCAACCAAAAAGUCUGACAGUACCAAAUGUUGGUGAGGAGGUGGAGCAACUAAGAUCCUCAGUCACCACCGCUAGGAGGAUACACAGAUUUGACCACCUUGGGAGGCUGUGUGGCAGCGCCCACUAAAUCUGAAGCUACCCCACCCUCUGCCCUGGGCUACGCACUCCUGGGUAUAUUCCCUGAAGAAACGCAGGCACCGGCACCCCAGGAGAUGCUACAAAGAGAUGGCUCGCACCAGCGCAGCAGGAGAUGGAGGAACAGAAUAUUAUAUGGGGCUGGGCACGGUGGCUCACGCCUGGAAUGCCGGCACUUUGGGAAGCUGAGGUGGGUGGAUCACCUGAGGUCAAGAGUUCAAGACUCGCCUGGCCAACGUGGUGAAACCCCCUCUCUACUAAAAAUUAAAAAAAAAAAUUAGCCAGGCAUAGCAGUGUAUGCCUGUAAUCCCAGUUACUCGGGAGGCUGAGGCAGGUGAAUCGCUUGAACCCAGGAGGCAGAGGCUGCAGUGAGCCAAGAUUGCACCACUGCACUCCAGCCUGGGUGACAGAGCGAGACUCUGUGUCAAAGAAAAAAAAAGAAUAUUAUACAGCAACAAAGAUGAAUGACUACAGAUACACUCAGCACACAGAUGGAUCUCACAGGCCUAAGGGCGAAAGAAAGCACAGACAAGGACAUACUGGAAGAUUCCAUUUAUGUCAAGUUCAAAAGCAGGCAAGAUGACAUUCUGUAAUUCAAGGAUGCAUACCUCAUGGUAAAAACUAUCAGGAAAAGCAAGGACACAGUGACCACCAAGGUCAGGAGAGCACUCACGACUGUGGUCGUGAUGGACAGGGGUUAUGGGCAGGCGGCUUUUGGGAGGUUGUGUUCUGUCUUUACCGAGGUGGUGGGGAAGCGUUGUUCACUUUGUAAUUCUUUGCUAAACUUACCUGUGCAUUUUAUGCACUUUUCUAUGGGCAUAUUAUAAUUGACAAUUAUUAAAGGUUUUUUAAAAGCA